AGCACUGGGCUCCACAGGGUCUCCCAGAUGAGCAUCUUGAGGAAAACUUUUGCAGAAACCCAGAUGGAGAAUCCCAACCGUGGUGCUUCACCACUGACCCGUCCAAACGAUGGGACCUCUGCUCUAUACCCCGCUGCACAUCCGAGCCUCCCACCAUCGUACCAGAGAUGAACUGUGCCAGUGGUAACGGAGAAGCAUACCGAGGCACAAUUGCUGUGACUAAAUCUGGCAAAACGUGCCAAGACUGGUCGGCUCAGACGCCACAUGUCCCCACCCGCGGGCCAGAUAACUACCCCUGCAAG